GUGCCAGCAGCCGCGGUAAAACGUAGGGGGCGAGCGUUAUCCGGAAUCACUGGGCGUAAAGGGCGUCUAGGCGGCACGUCAAGUCUUGCGUGAAAUCUCCUGGCUCAACUAGGAGAGUGCGUGGGAAACUAGCGAGCUAGAGACGUGGAGGGGUGCACGGAAUUCCCGGUGGAGUGGUGGAAUGCGUUGAGAUCGGGAGGAACACCAGAAGCGAAGGCGGUGCACUGGCCACGGACUGGCGGCUGAAGCGCGACAGCGUGGGGAGCGAACGGGAUUAGAUACCCCGGUAGUCCACGCUGUAAACGAUGACGACUAGGUGUGGGAGGGUCAGUCUCUUCCGUGCCGCAGCUAACGCAUUAAGUCGUCCGCCUGGGGAGUACGGCCGCAAGGUUGAAACUCAAAGGAAUUGACGG
rnacentral:rRNA from 1 species